rnacentral:rRNA from 1 species
GAUGAACGCUGGCGGCGUGCUUAACACAUGCAAGUCGAACGAAGCAUUUAGAACGGAUUACUUCGGUUUGAAGUUCUUUAUGACUGAGUGGCGGACGGGUGAGUAACGCGUGGGUAACCUGCCCUGUACUGGGGGAUAGCAGCUGGAAACGGCUGGUAAUACCGCAUAAGCGCACAAUGUUGCAUGACAUGGUGUGAAAAACUCCGGUGGUAUAAGAUGGACCCGCGUCUGAUUAGCUAGUUGGUGAGAUAACAGCCCACCAAGGCGACGAUCAGUAGCCGACCUGAGAAGGUGACCGGCAACAUUGGGACUGAGAAACGGCCCAUGCUCCUACGGGAGGCAGCAGUGGGGAAUAUUGCACAAUGGAGGAAACUCUGAUGCAGCGACGCCGCGUGAGUGAAGAAGUAAUUCGUUAUGUAAAGCUCUAUCAGCAGGGAAGAUAGUGACGGUACCUGACUAAGAAGCUCCGGCUAAAUACGUGCCAGCCGCCGCGGUAA